UGAUGUUUUUCAUUAUUCACGUUUUCCCCUAAACAGACCCUAAUGGUGACGACAUCGGUUUUUCCAAUCCUAUUCUCUAUUUUGCCCAAAUCAAGAUAAGGGUUCUUUUAUUUUCGAUCAACGUUUAUUAUAUAAUGCAUCCAUCAAAGAUAAGAUUCACGGGAAAAUAAGUGAAGGUGACUUUGCUUUAUCAACUAGGUAAACAUAACUAAGGUGGCAACCGUUGAGUGAUAAAUGCCAUUCACUUUCUUCUUGUGCAAUCUAGAUAUAGUUUUAUCAGAGCUGUGAAACCAUAUCUCUUUAAGAUGCACUUCUCAACACCCAGGUGAUUCAUGCACCAACAACACUGUUGCAUCUGCUGCAAGCUAACAGGAGAAGGCUCUACGCGAAGCCUAGACCAAAACCCAAAACAGCACUAGAAAUGUUGCUGUUGCAAAGAUCUGGAAGCUUUUAGGUGAGCAGUUGCUACUCAAAGACACCCUGAAUGAUUCUGUUGUCUACAAAAAAGAUCAAAGAUAUCAUGGUAAGGUGAGAGGAAUCAGUGAUUUGUUAAGGCAACUUACUAACAGUUGAAAAACAAUUAUACUUAUAUUAGAAGUAAGAUGUCAGUUAAUGUUUUCUACAUGUCAGACUGAGACUGUAUUACGUUAAUAUGUUAUUUUAUUUAAUUAUAAUCUA
rnacentral:lncRNA from 1 species